CGGCUCAGUAACACGUGGAUAACCUGCCCUAAGGUGGAGGAUAACCCCGGGAAACUGGGGAUAAUACUCCAUAGGUUAAAGGUACUGGAAUGUUCUUUAACCGAAAGUUCCGGCGCCUUAGGAUGGAUCUGCGGCCGAUUAGGUUGUUGUUGGGGUAGUGGCCCAACAAGCCUGUAAUCGGUACGGGUUGUGGGAGCAAGAGCCCGGAGAUGGAAUCUGAGACACGAUUCCAGGCCCUACGGGGCGCAGCAGGCGCGAAAACUUUACAAUGCAGGAAACUGUGAUAAAAAAACCCCAAAUACCCGUAUAUGCGGGCUGUCCGGAUGUUUAAAACGCAUCCGAAGAAAGGGCCGGGCAAGACCGGUGCCAGCCGCCGCGGUAAUACCGGCGGCUCGAGUGGUGGCCACUUUUAUUGGGCUUAAAGCGUUCGUAGCUUGAAUAAUAAGUCUCUUGGGAAAUCUGCAGGCUUAACCUGCAGGCGUUUAAGAGAAACUGUUGUUCUAGGAACCGGAAGAGGUGAGAGGUACUCCGGGGGUAGGAGUGAAAUCCUGUAAUCCCCGGGGGACCACCGAUGGCGAAGGCAUCUCACCAGGACGGCUUCGACAGUGAGGAACGAAAGCUGGGGGAGCGAACCGGAUUAGAUACCCGGGUAGUCCCAGCCGUAAACGAUGUGCGUUAGGUGUGCCGGUGACCACGAGUCACUGGGGUGCCGAAGGGAAACCGUGAAACGUACCGCCUGGGAAGUACGGUCGCAAGGCUGAAACUUAAAGGAAUUGGCGGGGGAGCACAAGGG
rnacentral:rRNA from 1 species